GCGGAAGUACCCAAGAGGCCGAAGGGGCUCCCCUGCUAAGGGAGUAGCUGGUCUGAAGCCAGGCGAGGGUUCAAAUCCCUCCUUCCGCGCCA
rnacentral:tRNA from 3 species